UACGAAGGGGGCUAGCGUUGCUCGGAAUCACUGGGCGUAAAGCGCACGUAGGCGGCUUGUUAAGUCAGUGGUGAAAUCCUGGAGCUCAACUCCAGAACUGCCUUUGAUACUGGCGAGCUUGAGUCCGGGAGAGGUGAGUGGAACUGCGAGUGUAGAGGUGAAAUUCGUAGAUAUUCGCAAGAACACCAGUGGCGAAGGCGGCUCACUGGCCCGGUACUGACGCUGAGGUGCGAAAGCGUGGGGAGCAAACAGG
rnacentral:rRNA from 1 species